rnacentral:rRNA from 1 species
CACGUAGGCACCAAGCGUUGUCCGGAUUUAUUGGGCGUAAAGAGCUCGUAGGCGGUUCAGUAAGUCGGGUGUGAAAACUCUGGGCUCAACCCAGAGACGCCACCCGAUACUGCUGUGACUUGAGUUCGGUAGGGGAGACUGGAAUUCCUGGUGUAGCGGUGAAAUGCGCAGAUAUCAGGAGGAACACCGGUGGCGAAGGCGGGUCUCUGGGCCGAUACUGACGCUGAGGAGCGAAAGCGUGGGGAGCGAACAGG